rnacentral:lncRNA from 1 species
AAUUUGGACUAUAAAAUUAGAAAACAUGAGAACUACCAUACAUUUUAUACACUGAUAUGCUCUUUUUUUGAUAGUGAUUCUUAGAGCACUGGAUUGUAUCAAACAGCCCAUCAUGGUCAUUUGGAAUUCCUUUAAGUGCAUUGUGAAUUCUGUGAGUCUGCCAGGAGUCCUCAAUCAGUAAAAUUUGCAAAAGUAGAUCCAAAUAAGGCUGAAGUUCAUAAGUAUAUGAAUAGGCAACCUGCCAUUGAAGUUCACUGAGGACAACAGAGGAGAACUGAAGAUUCUCCCAGGAGCUGAACUGAAGUAACUUAAUGGUCUCCUCUGAGUUACUGCAGCCUUCAAUAAUUUUCUUCACAUAACUUACUCUCACAAAUAAAAUAUCUGCCACAUUCUGCUGAAUUGGCAUUCUGGGUUAUAAUAAAGUAGGGUCACAAAAGGAUUGGGCGGGGGGAUUACCAUUGAUUAAAGAUUGUAUUUUGUAUGUUUUGUUUUGUUUUUUUUGGUAGAAUUUGUUAGGUUUUGCUUCUGCUGGAUCCCAGUUAACUAACUGUGUACAUUAUCAGAAUUCACAACAAUAAGUACUAUUAUACCAAGAUGCCUGGCUGAUUUUUAGUCAGUCUCAAUUUUACUUCAAAGCAAAAUGGUCCUAGUUCUUUUUCCAUUCCCAAAUUAUUGUUACAUAUGGAGUUUGAUUAAGAUGCAAACUUAAAGUACCUUUUUAGAGUAAACUUUUGUUUAGGAAUUCCAACAAAUUCUUAAUGUCAUAUUUAAAGGAGAAUUGCUAGCUUUUGAAUGUAUGUAAUAUUUUGGAAGCUGUCUAAAAACAAAAUAUUCCUGCAAACAGAUAUAGCCCAUCCUUUACUGUUUAAAUAUUUUGCUGUUUUGUUUUAUAGAAAUUAUUUUUGCUGAAUUCUCAAAUAGAAUUUAAGAAGCAAAAGAAUUAGAAA